GAUACUCUUAGUCGGACUAGGCGUUUGCUUGAAAAGUAUUGGCAUGGGUAGUACUAGAUAGUGCUGUCGACCUCUCAAUGUAUUAGGUUUAUCCAACUCGUUGAAUGGUGUGGCGGGAUAUUUCUGGUAUUGUUGGCCCGGCCUUACAACAACCAAACAAGUUUGACCUCAAAUCAGGUAGGAAUACCCGCUGAACUUAAGCAUAUCAAUAAGCGGAGGAAAAGAAACCAACAGGGAUUGCCUUAGUAGCGGCGAGUGAAGCGGCAAAAGCUCAAAUUUGAAAUCUGGCGCCUUCGGUGUCCGAGUUGUAAUUUGAAGAUUGUAACCUUGGGGUUGGCUCUUGUCUAUGUUUCUUGGAACAGGACGUCACAGAGGGUGAGAAUCCCGUGCGAUGAGAUGCCCAAUUCUAUGUAAGGUGCUUUCGAAGAGUCGAGUUGUUUGGGAAUGCAGCUCUAAGUGGGUGGUAAAUUCCAUCUAAAGCUAAAUAUUGGCGAGAGACCGAUAGCGAACAAGUACAGUGAUGGAAAGAUGAAAAGAACUUUGAAAAGAGAGUGAAAAAGUACGUGAAAUUGUUGAAAGGGAAGGGUUUGAGAUCAGACUCGAUAUUUUGUGAGCCUUGCCUUCGUGGCGGGGUGACCCGCAGCUUAUCGGGCCAGCAUCGGUUUGGGCGGUAGGAUAAUGGCGUAGGAAUGUGACUUUACUUCGGUGAAGUGUUAUAGCCUGCGUUGAUGCUGCCUGCCUAGACCGAGGACUGCGAUUUUAUCAAGGAUGCUGGCAUAAUGAUCCCAAACCGCCCGUCUUGAAACACGGACCAAGGAGUCUAACGUCUAUGCGAGUGUUUGGGUGUUAAACCCGUACGCGUAAUGAAAGUGAACGUAGGUGAGGGCUCUUUUGAGUGCAUCAUCGACCGAUCCUGAUGUCU
rnacentral:rRNA from 1 species